rnacentral:rRNA from 1 species
GAGCGGUAGCACAGAGAGCUUGCUCUCGGGUGACAAGCGGCGGACGGGUGAGUAACGCGUAGGAAUCUACCUAGUAGUGGGGGACAACAGUUGGAAACGACUGCUAAUACCGCAUACGCCCUAAGGGGGAAAGCGGGGGAUCUUCGGACCUCGUGCUAUUAGAUGAGCCUGCGUGAGAUUAGCUAGUUGGUGAGGUAAAGGCUCACCAAGGCGACGAUCUCUAGCUGGUCUGAGAGGAUGAUCAGCCACACUGGGACUGAGACACGGCCCAGACUCCUACGGGAGGCAGCAGUGGGGAAUAUUGGACAAUGGGCGCAAGCCUGAUCCAGCCAUGCCGCGUGUGUGAAGAAGGCCUUCGGGUUGUAAAGCACUUUCAGAAGGGAGGAAAGGUUGUGUGUUAAUAGCACAUAGCUGUGACGUUACCUUCAGAAGAAGCACCGGCUAACUCCGUGCCAGCAGCCGCGGUAAUACGGAGGGUGGCGAGCGUUGUUCGGAUUUAUUGGGCGUAAAGGGUCCGUAGGCGGUCUGCUAAGUCUGAUGUGA